CCUACGGGCGUCAGCAGUGGGGAAUAUUGGACAAUGGGGGCAACCCUGAUCCAGCCAUGCCGCGUGUGUGAAGAAGGCCCUCGGGUUGUAAAGCACUUUCAGUGAGGAAGAACGCCUGGUGGUUAAUACCCAUCAGGAAAGACAUCACUCACAGAAGAAGCACCGGCUAACUCCGUGCCAGCAGCCGCGGUAAUACGGAGGGUGCGAGCGUUAAUCGGAAUUACUGGGCGUAAAGCGCGCGUAGGUGGCUUGAUAAGCCGGUUGUGAAAGCCCCGGGCUCAACCUGGGAACGGCAUCCGGAACUGUCAAGCUAGAGUGCAGGAGAGGAAGGUAGAAUUCCCGGUGUAGCGGUGAAAUGCGUAGAGAUCGGGAGGAAUACCAGUGGCGAAGGCGGCCUUAUGGACUGACACUGACACUGAGGUGCGAAAGCGUGGGUAGCAAACAGGAUUAGAUACCCUGGUAGUC
rnacentral:rRNA from 1 species